rnacentral:rRNA from 1 species
GGGAAUAUUGGUCAAUGGGUGAGAGCCUGAACCAGCCAUGCCGCGUGCAGGAAGACGGCCUUCUGGGUUGUAAACUGCUUUUAUCUGGGGAUAAACAGCUCAUGCGUGAGUAAUUGAAGGUACCAGAUGAAUAAGCACCGGCUAACUACGUGCCAGCAGCCGCGGUAAUACGUAGGGUGCAAGCGUUGUCCGGAUUUAUUGGGUGUAAAGGGUGCGUAGGCGGCCUGUUAAGUCAGUGGUGAAAUCCAACAGCUCAACUGUUGAUGUGCCAAUGAUACUGACGGGCUUGAGUACAGACGAGGUAGGCGGAAUUGACAGUGUAGCGGUGAAAUGCAUAGAUAUUGUCAAGAACACCGAUAGCGAAGGCAGCUUGCUAGCCUGUAACUGACGCUGAGGCACGAAAGUGUGGGGAUCAAAC